rnacentral:rRNA from 1 species
UUCCGGUUGAUCCUGCCGGAGGUCACUGCUAUCGGGGUUCGAUUAAGCCAUGCGAGUCGAGAGGGUUCAGACCCUCGGCGGACUGCUCGGUAACACGUGGAUAAUCUGCCCUAUGGUGGAGGAUAACCCCGGGAAACUGGGGAUAAUACUCCAUAAGUCAGGAGUACUGGAAUGUCUCCUAACUGAAAGUUUCGGCGCCAUAGGAUGAAUCUGCGGCCGAUUAGGUAGUUGUCGGGGUAACGGCCCAACAAGCCCGUAAUCGGUACGGGUUGUGGGAGCAAGAGCCCGGAGAUGGAAUCUGAGACACGAUUCCAGGCCCUACGGGGCGCAGCAGGCGCGAAAACUUUACAAUGCAGGAAACUGUGAUAAGGGAACCCCGAGUGCCCGUACACGCGGGCUGUCCCGGUGUUUAAAACACAUCGGAAGAAAGGGCCGGGCAAGACCGGUGCCAGCCGCCGCGGUAAUACCGGCGGCUCGAGUGGUGACCACUUUUAUUGGGCUUAAAGCGUUCGUAGCUUGAUUUUUAAGUCUCUUGGGAAAUCUCACGGCUUAACUGUGAGGCGUCUAAGAGAUACUGGGAAUCUAGGGACCGGGAGAGGUAAGAGGUACUUCAGGGGUAGAAGUGAAAUUCUGUAAUCCUUGAGGGACCACCGAUGGCGAAGGCAUCUUACCAGAACGGCUUCGACAGUGAGGAACGAAAGCUGGGGGAGCGAACGGGAUUAGAUACCCCGGUAGUCCCAGCCGUAAACUAUGCGCGUUAGGUGUGCCUGUAACUACGAGUUACCGGGGUGCCGAAGUGAAAACGUGAAACGUGCCGCCUGGGAAGUACGGUCGCAAGGCUGAAACUUAAAGGAAUUGGCGGGGGAGCACCACAACGGGUGGAGCCUGCGGUUUAAUUGGAUUCAACGCCGGG